rnacentral:rRNA from 1 species
GAUGAACGCUGGCGGCGUGCCUAAUACAUGCAAGUCGAGCGAACGGACGAGAAGCUUGCUUCUCUGAUGUUAGCGGCGGACGGGUGAGUAACACGUGGAUAACCUACCUAUAAGACUGGGAUAACUUCGGGAAACCGGAGCUAAUACCGGAUGAUAUUUUGAACCGCAUGGUUCAAAAGUGAAAGACGGUCUUGCUGUCACUUAUAGAUGGAUCCGCGCUGCAUUAGCUAGUUGGUAAGGUAACGGCUUACCAAGGCAACGAUGCAUAGCCGACCUGAGAGGGUGAUCGGCCACACUGGAACUGAGACACGGUACAGACUCCUACGGGAGGCAGCAGUAGGGAAUCUUCCGCAAUGGGCGAAAGCCUGAAGGAGCAACGCCGCGUGAGUGAUGAAGGUCUUCGGAUCGUAAAACUCUGUUAUUAGGGAAGAACAUAUGUGUAAGUAACUGUGCACAUCUUGACGGUACCUAAUCAGAAAGCCACGGCUAACUACGUG